AAUUACCCACUCCCAGCACGGGGAGGUAGUGACGAAAAAUAACGAUACGGGACUCAUCCGAGGCCCCGUAAUCGGAAUGAGUACACUUUAAAACUUUUCCCGAGGAUCAAUUGGAGGGUAAGUCUGGUGCCAGCAGCCGCGGUAAUUCCAGCUCCAAUAGCGUAUAUUAAAGUUGUUGCGGUUAAAAAGCUCGUAGUCGAAUCUGUGUCCCGCGCCGCUGGUUCAUCGCUCGCGGUGUUCAACUGGCGUGUCUCGCGGGACGUCCUGCCGGUGGGCGCUCGUAUCGUUUCGGCGGUGCGUGGCCCAACUCGUAGCCGUCUCGCGCGGUUGCGAAUCCCAUCGCGGUGCUCUUUAUUGAGUGUCGAGGUGGGCCGGCACGUUUACUUUGAACAAAUUAGAGUGCUUAAAGCAGGCCAAUUUUGCCUGAAUAUUGUGUGCAUGGAAUAAUGGAAUAGGACCUCGGUUCUAUUUUGUUGGUUUUAAGAACCCCGAGGUAAUGAUUAAUAGGAACGGAUGGGGGCAUUCGUAUUGCGACGUUAGAGGUGAAAUUCUUGGAUCGUCGCAAGACGGACAGAAGCGAAAGCAUUUGCCAAAAACGUUUUCAUUGAUCAAGAACGAAAGUUAGAGGUUCGAAGGCGAUCAGAUACCGCCCUAGUUCUAACCAUAAACGAUGCCAGCUAGCGAUCCGCCGACGUUCCUCCGAUGACUCGGCGGGCAGCUUCCGGGAAACCAAAGCUUAUGGGUUCCGGGGGAAGUAUGGUUGCAAAGCUGAAACUUAAAGGAAUUGACGGAAGGGCACCACCAGGAGUGGAGCCUGCGGCUUAAUUUGACUCAACACGGGACACCUCACCAGGCCCGGACACCGGAAGGAUUGACAGAUUGAGAGCUCUUUCUUGAUUCGGUGGGUGGUGGUGCAUGGCCGUU
rnacentral:rRNA from 1 species